GCAUUUGCAACUUUCCCUCCUCGCGACAGCAGCUGCAAGUGACCUCCUGAAAAUGAACCCUUCUCCCAGUGGUGCCGGCCUGUAUCACCAUGCCACUCACACAUAACUGACAUUGAGAAGAAGGUUCUAUGAAGGCUGGAGUCUGGUGAAAGUUAUGUGUGUUAUCAGCUGCCAAUCUCUGUCCUGGCAGAUACCGCUUCUUGCCCUGGGAACCUUCGCUGAUUUGAGGUGGUGGGAAGCUAUGGUGAAGAAUAAAAUCAAUGCCCACAGCACUGUGGUUGGCACUAUAUACCAUCAGCUCCUUCAUGGAGAUGAAGGUUUUGUUAUUGAAGAAUCAAGAAUAGAAAGAAAUGUGUCUCUACCAA